CAGUCGCCGCGGUAACACGGAGGGAGCUAGCGUUGUUCGGAAUUACUGGGCGUAAAGCGCGCGUAGGCGGUUACUCAAGUCAGAGGUGAAAGCCCGGGGCUCAACCCCGGAACUGCCUUUGAAACUAGGUGACUAGAAUCUUGGAGAGGUCAGUGGAAUUCCGAGUGUAGAGGUGAAAUUCGUAGAUAUUCGGAAGAACACCAGUGGCGAAGGCGACUGACUGGACAAGUAUUGACGCUGAGGUGCGAAAGCGUGGGGAGCAAACAGGAUUAGAUACCCCAGUAGUCCCUGUCUCUUAUAC
rnacentral:rRNA from 1 species